UUGCUGAUUUUUUUCAAGUUUAGAUGUAAUUAAAGAACUUUGUUCAAUCGGAACACUAACAGGCUUACAACCAAGGUACCCAAACUCACUCAAAAGUUCAAGACAAUACUUUCAUGCAAGCAAACAGACCAACAAAACAGAACAAAUACACAACAACUAGAAACCCUAAAUGGCGAAGCUGAGUCAGUGUCAAGAUUUCAGGUUCAUCACUCACAGAUAAUAUUGC
rnacentral:lncRNA from 1 species